GUGAGGAAUAUUGGUCAAUGGGCGGGAGCCUGAACCAGCCAAGUCGCGUGUGUGAAGAAGGUCUUCGGAUUGUAAAGCACUUUAAGUUGGGAGGAAGGGCAGUAAGUUAAUACCUUGCUGUUUUGACGUUACCGACAGAAUAAGCACCGGCUAACUUCGUGCCAGCAGCCGCGGUAAUACGAAGGGUGCAAGCGUUAAUCGGAAUUACUGGGCGUAAAGCGCGCGUAGGUGGUUCGUUAAGUUGGAUGUGAAAGCCCCGGGCUCAACCUGGGAACUGCAUCCAAAACUGGCGAGCUAGAGUACGGUAGAGGGUGGUGGAAUUUCCUGUGUAGCGGUGAAAUGCGUAGAUAUAGGAAGGAACACCAGUGGCGAAGGCGACCACCUGGACUGAUACUGACACUGAGGUGCGAAAGCGUGGGGAGCAAACAGGAUUAGAUACCCGAGUAGUCC
rnacentral:rRNA from 1 species